rnacentral:rRNA from 1 species
UACGUAGGGAGCAAGCGUUGUCCGGAAUCAUUGGGCGUAAAGCGCGCGUAGGCGGCCCCGUAAGUCCGCUGUGAAAGUCAAAGGCUCAACCUUUGAAAGCCGGUGGAUACUGUGGGGCUAGAGUCCGGAAGAGGCGAGUGGAAUUCCUGGUGUAGCGGUGGAAUGCGCAGAUAUCAGGAGGAACACCAAUAGCGAAGGCAGCUCGCUGGGAUGGUACUGACGCUAAGGCGCGAAAGCGUGGGGAGCGAACAGG